rnacentral:lncRNA from 1 species
AUGAUGACUCCUACCAGAUCCAAAUCACCUGAACCCACUUCUAGAAGAAAGAGAUUCAGUGUCUUGUGCACCAAGGCUACAAGGGACACUGCUGCCGCCACCCUUAAUUCUCUUCCUGCUCCAUCUCCCCACCUCACAAGAUGUGUCUCUGCCGGAUGCUGCGGAGGCCACAAAGAAAGGACCAGGAGGCCACGGGUCACCAGGGAAGGGCCCCUUCCUUCCAGAACUUCAGCCCUGGUUUUGAGGCACGCUGGCUGGCCUCCCCAGCAUCCGGGUGUUUGGUGGCCAGCAUGGCGCAGGACAGCCAGCUAAAGAUGUGCUUGCAUGGGAGGCGAGGGAAAGACACAGGACUCCUUGGCGCUUGAAGGAAUUCUGAGCAUCUCUGAUGCCUUGACACAUACAAGGCACCGAAGCCGAGGCAGAGACAGCGACUGGAAGGGUGAAGGCUUCAUCUCCCGCCACAUGGCCCUGGGGACGGGGCUGGGGACGUGCCCAGGCAGGCAGGGGUGAGGAGGGAGUUUAAGGACCUGCUGAGAACACAGGCAGCGGGCAGCCGUGGGUCUGACUCCUCGCGCUGCCUCCCACUUGCUGAGGGCCCUGGGGAAGCUGCUGCCCCUGCAUGAGCCCCAGGUUCCUCAUUCGUAGAAUGGGGUGAAUCACACCAACCCCAUGAGGGGGUCCUGGGCAGAGGAACAGCACACACAAAGCACGUGGAACAGCUUAGCAGGCAGCAGACGGAGCGGCUGUUCCUAUGAGGUUUUUUCUUUGUUUCUUUUCCAGGUAUUUCUGGAAAUAUUUUCUACCUUCCCCAGAGAGUAAUCAUCCUUUCAAAUGUCCUUUUGCUAAGGCUGUUCCCUCGGCCGAGGAUACCCUUCUGCCCUGCAGGGCUGACGUGUGUUGGGCGAUGCUGUGUUAUAGACUUCGUUUUAGGGGUUGUACGUGGGUUGACUCACUUGGUCCUCAAAACACCAAAUGAGCUCAGUACUACUAUUACCCCCAUUUUAUAGACUAGGAAACUGAGGCUUAGAGCUGUUGAGAAACUUGUCCAGGGUCACACAGCUAGUGAGCGAGGACUCCUGACUGUGAGACCGUGCUCCUCCUCACAGCUUCCCUACCUCAAUAGAGUAUCUCAAUCACUCCCGUCCUUUUUGGGGUAAAUGGUAGCUUCUCAUCCUUCAAAGAGCCCUCUCUGAUUUCCUAACUGGAAACACUCCUGUCUCUCCCUUAAACCCCCUCCUCAUCCCCUUGUUAGAUUCCCUCACCUCUCUUGCCUCAUUUGCCCGCUAUUUCAUGCUUUCAGUACACAUCUCAG